UACGAGGGGGGCAAGCGUUGUUCGGAUUUAUUGGGCGUAAAGAGCGUGUAGGCGGCCAUGCAGGUCAGCUGUGAAAACUCGAGGCUCAACCUCGAGACGUCGGUUGAAACCGUAUGGCUAGAGUCCGGAAGAGGAGAGUGGAAUUCCCGGUGUAGCGGUGAAAUGCGCAGAUAUCGGGAAGAACACCCGUGGCGAAGGCGGCUCUCUGGGACGGUACUGACGCUGAGACGCGAAAGCGUGGGGAGCGAACAGG
rnacentral:rRNA from 1 species